AGUCCCGCUCCGUCCUCCUCGCCUGCCACCGGUGCACCCAGUCCGCUCAGCCAGCCCAGUCCGUCCGGUCCUCAUCGCCUGCCGGCCGGCGCACCCCCCACCGCAGCCAUGGACGCCAUCAAGAAGAAGAUGCAGAUGCUGAAGCUGGACAAGGAGAACGCCAUCGACCGCGCCGAGCAGGCCGAAGCCGACAAGAAGCAAGCUGAGGACCGCUGCAAGCAGCUGGAGGAGGCCGAGAAGGCGGCUGAUGAGAGCGAGAGAGGAAUGAAGGUCAUCGAAAACCGGGCCAUGAAGGAUGAGGAGAAGAUGGAACUGCAGGAGAUGCAGCUGAAGGAGGCCAAGCACAUCGCUGAGGAUUCAGACCGCAAAUAUGAAGAGGUGGCCAGGAAGCUGGUGAUCCUGGAAGGAGAGCUGGAGCGCUCGGAGGAGAGAGCUGAGGUGGCCGAGAGGUAAAGAUACCCGGGGGUGGCAAGUGAGCCCAUUGGCCCUGGGGCCUUCCACACAGUGGGAAGGUAGUGUCCUAGGCUUGGGGCUGUAGGGACAGGCCCUGUCGUCUGACCCCUGCCCGCUGCC
rnacentral:sRNA from 1 species